rnacentral:lncRNA from 1 species
UUGAUCUUUCCUGGAACAGCUUCACGUCAUCAAUGAUACUCCAGUGGCUGUCCAACGUCACUUCCAACCUUGUUGAGCUUGACCUUAGUCAUAACCUCUUGGAGGGUUCCACAUCAAACCAUUUUGGCCGUGUAAUGAAUUCUCUUGAGCACCUCGACCUCUCAUAUAAUAUAUUCAAGGGUGAGGAUUUGAAAUCCUUCGCGAAUAUAUGCACCUUACAUUCUUUAUACAUGCCAGCAAAUCUUUUGACUGAAGACCUUCCAUCAAUCCUUCCUUGAUAAUUUGUCUAGUGGUUGUGUUAAACACUCAUUACAAGAAUUGGAUUUCACAUCUAAUCAAAUUACUGGCUCUUUACCCGACCUUUCAGUAUUCUCAUCUCUAAGAUCAUUGUUUCUUGAUGGAAAUAAAUUAAGUGGAAAGAUACCUGAAGGCAUCCGCUUACCGUUUCAUUUGAAAUCUCUGUCAAUCCAAUACAACUCUUUAGAAGGUGGAAUUCCCAAAUCAUUUGGGAACUCAUGUGCUUUGAGCUCACUGGAUAUGUCUGCUAACAAUUUGAAUAAAGAGCUUUCGGUGAUAAUUCAUCAAUUGUCUGGGUGUGCCAGAUUCUCGCUGCAAGAAUUGAACAUAGAAGCAAAUCAAAUCAAUGGUACGCUUUCUGACCUUUCAAUAUUCUCUGCCUUGAAAACAUUGGAUCUUUCAAUAAAUCAAUUAAAUGGAAAAAUUCCAGAGAGUACCAAAUUGCCAUCUCUGUUAGAAUCUUUGUCAAUUGGAUCAAACUCUUUAGAAGGCGGAAUUCCAAAAUCAUUUGGGGAUGCAUGUGCUUUGCGCUCGUUGGACAUGUCUUAUAAUAGCUUGAGUGAAGAAUUUCCAAUGAUAAUCCAUCACUUGUCUGGAUGUGCUAGAUAUUCAUUGGAACAAUUAUCUCUAAGCAUGAACCAAAUCAACGGCACACUACCCGACCUCUCAAUAUUCUCAUCUUUAAGAGAAUUAUAUCUUUAUGGAAACAAGCUAAAUGGAGAGAUUCCUAAAGAUAUUAAAUUUCCACCUCAACUGGAGCAACUAGAUAUGCAAUCAAAUUCCUUAAAGGGUGUGCUCACUGACUAUCAUUUUGCUAAUAUGUCUAAGUUAGACAUCCUGGAGUUAUCUGAGAACUCUUUAUUGGCCUUGGCAUUUAGCCAAAAUUGGGUCCCACCAUUUCAAUUGAGCUACUUAGGAUUGCGAUCUUGCAAGCUAGGUCCAGUAUUUCCCAAAUGGUUGGAGACACAAAAUCAAUUUCGGGAUAUUGACAUUUCAAAUGCUGGAAUAGCAGAUAUGGUUCCAAAGUGGUUUUGGGCUAAUUUAGCAUUCCGAGAAUUUAUUUCAAUGAAUAUUUCAUACAAUAAUCUCCAUGGUAUAAUUCCUAAUUUUCCAACAAAGAAUAUUCAAUAUUCCCUAAUUCUUGGACCAAAUCAAUUUGAUGGCCCUGUUCCACCAUUUCUGCGAGGUUCCGUAUUUCUUGAUUUAUCCAAAAAUCAAUUCUCAGAUUCUCUUUCAUUUUUAUGUGCUAAUGGUACAGUUGAAACUUUGUACGAAUUAGACCUUUCAAAUAAUCAUUUCUCUGGAAAAAUUCCGGACUGUUGGAGCCAUUUCAAGCCAUUAACUUAUUUGGACUUAAGUCACAAUAAUUUUUCAGGAAGGAUACCCACAUCCAUGGGAUCUCUUCUUCAUCUUCAAGCAUUGCUAUUGAGAAACAACAACUUAACAGAUGAGAUACCUUUCUCCUUGAGGAAUUGCACAAAUCUAGUAAUGCUAGAUAUUUCAGAAAACAGAUUAUCAGGGCUUAUCCCUGCUUGGAUAGGGAGCGAAUUACAAGAGUUGCAAUUUUUAAGUUUGGGAAGAAAUAAUUUCCAUGGAAGUUUACCAUUGCAAAUUUGCUACCUAAGUGACAUUCAACUCUUGGAUGUCUCACUAAACAGCAUGUCUGGGCAGAUUCCUAAAUGCAUCAAAAAUUUUACUUCAAUGACUCAAAAGACAUCUUCAAGAGAUUAUCAAGGUCAUUCAUAUCUUGUCAAUAUCAUUGGCAUGUCUGGUAGUUAUACAUAUGAUUUGAAUGCACUCUUGAUGUGGAAAGGUUCAGAACAAAUGUUCAAAAAUAAUGUGUUACUACUUUUAAAAAGCAUUGAUCUCUCAAGCAAUCACUUUUCUGGAGAAAUUCCACUGGAAAUAGAGAAUUUAUUUGGAUUGGUUUCAUUGAAUUUAUCAAGAAACCAUUUGACCGGAAAGAUUCCUUCAAAUAUUGGAAAGUUAACAUCACUUGACUUUCUUGAUUUGUCAAGAAACCAUCUAGUUGGUUCAAUUCCUUUGAGUCUUACUCAAAUUGAUCGACUGGGCAUGUUAGAUUUGUCACAUAACAAUCUAUCUGGAGAAAUUCCAACUGGUACACAAUUACAGAGUUUCAAUGCCUCAUGUUAUGAAGAUAAUCUUGAUCUUUGUGGACCGCCACUGGAGAAAUUGUGUAUUGAUGGGAAGCCUGCACAGGAACCAAUUGUUAAACUUCCUGAAGAUGAAAAUUUGCUUUUCACCCGUGAAUUUUACAUGAGUAUGGCAAUUGGAUUUGUUAUAAGCUUUUGGGGCGUUUUUGGCUCAAUCUUAAUAAAUCGUUCUUGGAGACAUGCUUAUUUCAAGUUCAUAAGCAAUUUCUCAGAUGCUAUUUAUGUCAUGGCAGCCGUGAAAGUUUUCAAGUGGCAUCACAGAGGAUAGCUGGUAAUAAUAUUUUAGUCUUCAUAUAUAUACUUCAUUUUCCUUUAUAUGAUAAAUAUAUAGCAGUCACAGACCUUAGUUUACAACUAGAUGACGUUUUUCUCUUUUGUUUUGACCUUUAGACCCUCAAUUAAUAAAAAAACAAGUAUUCAUCAACACGAACCUUAGUUUACUAUCACACUGCAGGUAAACAACUUGUAGUUCGGUUAAUAUAUGAUAUAUAUAUAUAUAUAUAUAUAUAUAUCUUUUAAUGAACUAGUUUUAACUAAAGAUGAACAAGCAGUUAUAUAAUAAUGAAAAAGAAAAGUUGAAAAAGAAAAGUAAUAUAAUCAAUUUUUGAUAAAUGUUUUUCUAAAAAGUAUAUAAUAAGUUCAAAGAGUCUAAUUACUAAUUAGUAUUAACUUCAAUGUGUUGGAGUUUUACAUGGGCAUCUAUUAAUAUUAAUAUAUUUAUCUUUAUACCAUUUCAUAUUAGUUAAAUAAAUUAAAGAAAUGAUUAUUAAUAUUGUUAUAUUAAAUUUAGUAGGUUAUAAAACUUCUUUACACUAACAUUUCAUAUUAAACAAAUCAAAAUACUUUUACCUAUUUUCUAAUCCCAAAAUAAUAGCUAUAUACAGAUAAAGUAUAUUUUUUUUCUUGAUAUAUAUUUUUUCUCCUUAUAAAUACUUUUACCUAUUUUCAAUCUCAUGUUCUACUUUUUGAUAUAGCUUUUAGUGUUGGUAAUUUUCUUGGCAUUCCAAUUUUUUCUCUAUUCUUUUAUUAUUUCUAGUUGAAGACAAAUUUUGAAGGAUCCAUAUUUUAAUUUUUGGCAGAAAAAUUCUGAAUUGUAGGUGCCAGCUUGUUGAGGUGGAAAAUGCAAAGAGACACUUUUAAUUUGGAGGUGAGAAGGCAUCUCUCACAAUUGGAUUUGGAGACCGAGAGAGAAUUAAGGAAGGCUUCUAGAGCUUGAGGGAGCCAAUUGUGAUUGUGAUCCAUCUAGUUUAUUUUCCUUUUUAAUUUCUAAGCAUUUUGUUUGUAGUUUGGUCUUUAAAUCUGAACUGGUUGUUUUGUAUGAAGUUGAUGAAUCUUCAUAAUAAUGGGAACUGAGAGGUUUGGUUAUUGCUUCUUGAUUUUUGGGUCAUACUCUUUGAUUACGUAGAAAUAGAAAACCGUGUUUGAUCUAGGGAUUUUGUUGUGCUUUUGUACAUUAGUCUCAUGAUUUCAUUUAAGGAAUUAAGUUAUAUGAGAUUAAAAGGAUUCAUUGCCAAGGAAUUGAAUGUGAAUUACCGCAGCAAAAACUGAUCUUAAACUUGGGCAAAGUUGUUUGGACUAGGUGGAAAUUGGGUUGUUACUUAAACAAUCCGUAAAAUCAAAACUUAACAGUGACAGGUGUGAGCACUAUGUCCCUUCUUGGAGCAGAGUUGGCAAAUAGUGUUGGAGUAGGAAGAGAUAAGAUGAUUGCCAGAUGGGUAAUGCUCAUGACGCUUGAGAUACAUCUCAUAGUUCUGCAAUUUAACAAAUACCUCAUCAAAAGAGGGCAAGGUGUUUUGCCAAUGACGUAGCCUUCAAGGUCACGAAUAAGCUUAGACUGAUACCAUAUAGAGAAUGAAUAAGUUGUUUAGAGAAGAUGACGAUCCACACGUCCUUUAGAGAAGAUGUGUGUGGUAGACUUGUGCUUUUCUGGGAAUCAUGAUAUCCCUGUGACAUUUGGGAUAUAGUGAGACCGUAUAAAACACUUAUGUCUAAAUUCGGGAACAACAAAUUCUAUCUUGAUAAUUGUAAAUUUUGAGUUUAAUUGAUAGUUAAUUUUAACUAAAAAUUUUUAGAAUUUUUUUAUUUUAAUAUUGUUGUGUUUAUUGAAAUAAUAAGGAAUUUAAUAUUAUAUUAAUUUUUUUACCAGCAGAAUUUAAUAUCAUGUAAUAUCAUGUAGUAACUAUUACUGCUACACUAUAUUUUAGUCAUGGUAGCAGUGAAAGUUUUCAAGUGGCGUCACAGAGGAUAGCUGGUAAUAAUAUUUUAGUCUUCGUAUAUAUACUUCAUUUUCCUUUAUAUGAUAAAUAGCAGUCACAAACCUUAGUUUACAACUAGAUGGCGUUUUUCUCUUUUGUUUUAACCUUGAGACCCUCGAUUAAUAAAAAAAAUAAUUAUUCAUCAACACGAAACUUAGUUUACUAUCACACCUAAGGUAAACAAGUUGUAGUCCGGUUUUCUUCUUAAAAGAAGACUAGCUAGAACAUGUAUGAUAUAUCUUUGAACGAACUAGUUUUAACUAAAGAUGAACAAGCAGUUACAUAAUAAUGAAAAAGAAAAGUAGAACAUGCAUGCAUGUUUGUUUUGCAUUUCCGAAAUCCAGAUUAGAUUGUUUAUAAAAUACUAAUUUUUAAUUUAAUAUUCAAUAAUCAUAUGAUGCUUGAAAAUAUAUAUUAAAUGAGUUGUACAUACACAUUCGAGGAAUCUAAAUCUUGAUAUUUUAAAUAUUCUUAUCUCAAAAUGUCUUUUAAUAUGAUUACAAAUCAUCUUUUGGAAUUUUGUUAAUCCCGUAAUAUAAUCAAUUUUUGAUAAAUGUUUUUCUAAAAAGCAUAUAAUAAUUUCAAAUAGUUCAACGUAUUGGAUUUUUACAUGGGAUCUAUUAAAAUUAAUAUAUUUAAUUUUAUUUAUUUUCAUACCAUUUCGUAUUAGUUAAAUAAAUUAAAGGAAUGAUGAUUGUUAUGUAGGUUAUAAAACUUCUUUACACUAAUAUUUCAUAUUAAACAAAUUAUAAUACUUUAACCUAUUUUAUAAUCGCUAAAUAAUAACUCAAUAUAAAUAACGUAUAUUUUUUUUCUUGAUAUAUGCUUUUCCUCCUUGUAAGUUAUUAAGUUUAAAAUAGAGAAUAAGUUUGAGGUAGUUUUUCUAUCUCAUUAUCUACUUCUUUAUAUAGCUUUUAGUCAUGGUGAUUUUCUUGGCAUUUCAAUUUUUUCUUUAUUCUUUUAUUACUUCUAGUUGAGGGCAAAUGUUGAAGGAUCGAUAUUUUAAUUUUUGGCAGAAAAAUUCUGAAUUCUAGGUGCCAGCUUGUGGAGGUGGAAAAUGCAAAGAGAUACUUUUGGAGGUGAGAAGGCAUCUCUCACAGUUGGAUUUGGAGACCGAGAGAGAAUUAAGGAAGGCUUCUAGAGCUUGAGGGAGCCAAUUGUGAUAGUGAUCUAGUUUAUUUUCCUUUUUAAUUUCUAAGCAUUUUGUUUGUACUUUAGCCCUUAAAACUGAACUAGUUGUUUUGUAUGAAGUUGAUGAAUCUUCACAAUAAUGAGAAUUGAGAUGUUUGGUUAUUGUUUCUUGAUUUUUGGGUCAUGCUCUUUGAUUAUGUAGAAAUAGUAAACCGUGUUUGAUCUAGGGAUUUUGAUGUGCUUUUGUACAUUAGUCUCAUGAUUUCAUUUAAGGAAAUAAGUUAUAUGAGAUUAAAAGGAUUCAUUGCCAAGGAAUUGAAUGUGAAUUACUGCAGCAAAAACUGAUCUUAAACUUGGGCAAAGAUGUUUGGAGUAGGAAGAGCUAUGAUGCUUGCCAGAUGGGUAAUGCUAACUGCACCCUCUGGUAGAGUGGUGUGAGCAGCGGUGAUUGGCAAAGUUGGCACUGAUGGAGGAGUGGUGAUUGAAGUGCUCAUCACGCAAUCAGAAAUAUCCUAACAUCAAAUAUGCCUUUAUUCCACUGCCCACGCAUCUUCUAGAAGACACGAGGCUAUCAUAUGGUUUGCGCUUUUACUACGUAUGGUGCAUGUAUGCAUGAUGCAUGAUGCAUGAUGCCAACCAUGCUGUACGUUCCUUCCUCUUGGACCUUUGGUGCUUACUUCCUGCAGACCCCCCUGUGUCAUUCGUACCCCCUGGUGAAAUCCGUAUCAAUGUCCUUCAUUCUCUCCUGCUGUAUUAGCUCUCUAACAGGUCGAUAAGCCGCAGUGAUGCACAAAUUCUGUUCACAGAAAUUAACAUCAAUUUAUUUUCCCAAAAAAAAUAAAACCAGUAAAUCGCCCCCAAAAUUCACCUUAAGAUCACUUCCAGUAUAUCCUUCUGUCAUGGUUGCCAGCUCUUUGAAGUCUAAGUUUUCAUGUUUUUCUUUAGCCAAAAGAGUCUUCAAGAUCAUUUCCCUGUUCUCAACAGAUGGAAGACCAACCAAGAUCCUGCUCAACAAUAAAAAGGUGAGUGUUAUGAUUCACAAGUUACAAGAGCAAUAAUAGUUGAACUAAAAAGCAUUAAAUAUUGAUGUUGCACAGUUGAAAACACUUGAUUUUAUUGUAUCCAUAAAAGACAUCUGACAGACUCAAUUUGUGAACAAUUUAAAUGCCAAAUUAAGAGGCAAGAACUGUUGCUAAAAGAGUUAAGGCAAGCUACAGAAAGAUAUCUGUCUUCAAGGGGGGGCAUAUGGUAUUGUCAGCUAUAUAGAAAAUAAGAAUAGACACCUCAAAAGGAAAUUGAUGAAAUGACCACUUGUUAUGAAUUUUCUUGUUUUCUUAUGGUCAAACAUAUGCUCAUCAUAAUGAUGGAGAAAUGCAGUCUUUGUUCUGAUUGCAAAAAUGUUGUUGCUGAAUAGAAGCAACACAUGAUCAUGCAAACAAUAAGACAAAGGUGUGGUCCUACCUUCUCUCAAACCGUCUUAUGAUAGCUUCAUCAAGGUCAAAUGGCCUGUUGGUUGCUGCAAGAACCAAAAUUUGCUCAUUAGGUCCUGUUAAUAGCCCAUCCCAGUGUGUCAUGAAUUCAUUUUUAAUCUUCCUCAUAGCCUCAUGCUCUCCUACUCUAGUCCUCUGUCCAAGCAUGCUGUCAACCUCGUCAACAAAGAUAAUUGUUGGGGCAACCUUAGCUGCCAGUGUGAACAGAGCUCGGACAUUCUUUUCAUCCUCUCCAAACCAUUUUGAUGUGAUGGUUGACAUUGAGACAUUAAUGAAACUUGCCUUCCUGGAACAGACUCAAUCCCACUACUCCAAGCAUACCUCGUUAGAUUCAUUAGUCUUCAGAUUCCCACUACUCUUGCCUUCCUGGAACAGACUCAAUCCAUGGGACAAGCUGUUCACAUCCAAGAUCAGUAACUAGAAAAUCUGGUCACGUAAUUGAUGGUGUCUUUACAUAGCCAUUGGACAAGUAUUUACCUAUUUGCUGAUAUAACUAGCUUUCCAUUUCCAGUUCGUUUGAAAUUAAUGGUGUGUGUAUAGUAAUUUGUUUAUAUAUAUAUAUAUAUAUAUAUAUAUAUAUAUAUAUAUAUAUAUAUAUAUAUUAAAAGAGAUAUUAUUUUUGUGAUACAAUGGCUAAGUUGUUUUCAUAAAUUAUAAAAGAAAUUUAAGAUUUAUUACCCAUUAAUAACUAAAUGUGCAAAUGUAGCAUGCUCAUUAUGUAGGGUCACGAUUUCUUGCUUGGUUGAGUGGUCGGGUGAUCUAGUGUUCAUAUUCAAUACUUUAUUUCAAUAAAACUAUGUCCUAUGUAAUCUUUUAAAAUUUGGAUGAAAAGUUUUGAUGAUAAUAAAAUAAAAUAGAGAUAUAAUUAGAGAAAAUAAAUUGUGUACUAACAAUGUUAAAUUAUUUUAUACAUGUCAUUCAUUUAUUUAGUGAUGUGUAUAUGAUAAGUUUGUGAAGUUUUACAAAAGUUAUAUUAAAAUUAAUUAAUAAUAUAAAACUAAAUAUUCAAUACUUAAUCAUAAAACAUUGAUGAUCUUCAUUAUUACUAUAAAUUUUUUUCUUAUAAAUUAUUGUGAUUUUAAUCUAUCGUUAACUUUAUGUUAUUAUUCUUCUUACUUCAAUUUCAACAAAUUUCUUUUUAUAGGUAUAAGAAUUUUAUUUAUUUUUCAUUUACACAUUUUGGAAACUAACAUUCUGUUUUUUUUUUUUUUAAUUUUCAGUCUCUUGAAGACACUAGUCCUCUUGCAUGACCCCAAUGUCUAAGCUUGUUAUUGCUUGGAAAAGGCAAUAAGUUGGAAAUUAUGAUUGUUUUAUAUUUUUUCAGUAUCAAUUGAGAUACUUAUAUCAUGUUUCGAUAAUUUUAAAAAGACUCUAGUUAAUUUUAAAAAGACUCUAGUUUUAUUAGCAUUAUGCUUGUAAUAAAAUAUAAAUUACAAUGUAUUAUAUCAAUAAUUUGUGCAUAUUUCUCUUAAUCAAAAUUUUGGUUUUGACAAAAACAGUAUUGAGCUAAACAUUUUGCCAAGGGCCUCAUUUUCAAUAUUUUAAGAAUAAAAAAAUUAGAAAAUUCCAUGCACAUAUUUUGUAUGAAUGAAUCUAUCAUCAUCAUUUUGUCAUAAUUAGACAAAUAAUUUGACACCAUAUGUUUCAAUUAUAUGGAGAUGGCUCCAAUUUUCAAACUAUGCAUGUCUUUUAUUUUAAGAAAGAAACAAUAAUAAUAAUAUAUAUUAUUAAUUAUUAAUCUAUACUAAUAAUAAACAAAAUAUCUCAAUUUGGUAUCCAUAUUAAAUUAGAUAAUUUUACCUUUAAAUCAUUUUUUAAAUUUUAAAAAAUUUCUUCUAACCUACUAUAACUUUCCACUACUAUAUUAUUAAUAUUUUUUUAUUCUCACGUUUUUUAUUAAAUAUAUUUAAUUUUUAUCUUUUUAAAUUUUUUUUCUUAUUUUUUAAAAUUUAGAAAGACGUGAUCUAUCCUUUAGUUCUUAAUUUAAGAAUACCCUUUUAGUGUCCAUAAAUUUUAGACGAUUAUAUUCUUUAUUAAUUAGUCAACUUCUGUUAUCCUCUCCUAAUAACUAUCCACCACUCUUAUGUUAGUUAUUCUAUCCACCACGAUUAUUUUCAUCAAUCAAAAUAUAACCCAAAGAAAAUGCUGAAGUUACAUAACCCGAUGAUAGAAUGCAGGAUCUCUAACAAACUCCUGAUAUGACUCCUUAUGAUCAUUUUAAAGGGUUAAGGGCGGGGAAAUGUCUGAAGUAGUAUAAUUGUGAAAAGUUAAUAUUGUGACUACACAUUUGAUGUUGUGAUAGAUGUAUCCCUGACCUAAUCAUAGAUGAAGUUAGAUUUACAAAAUUCGAUUGAUGUUGCACAUCUGGAUAAGCAGUACAGUUUAAAGACAAUUCGAUUUACAAAAUUCUAUUGUCAUAUAUAAUACAGCAUACCUAAAAUGUUUGGAGUAAUAUAUUCCUACUUCCUACAAAGCCAUUGCAUCUUCCAAAACCAUGCAUGACAUAACAUAAAUUCUCUAAUACUGGUGCUCAUUGGUUUGUAGACAACUCAAACCAAAACCGAGAACCCAUUCCUAAACAUAAUGCAUGAUGAUCUACACGUCCUUUAGAGAAUAGAUGUGUGUCGCAGAACUUGUGCUUUUCUGGGAAUCAUGAUAUCUCUGCGACAUUUGGGUUAUAGUGGGACAUCUAGGCAUGCUUUGAGUUCAACAUCUCUGGUGAAGGACUCCUUCCUUUGUUGAAAUGUAUCAUUGAAGAUGAAUGGUCGCAAAUCCAAUAAUAAAAUUUCUAGGUUUUAAAAAUCCACUUUUAACUAGUUCAUUUUAGUCCUCUCCGAACCAUUUUAAUGUGAAUGAUGGUUGACAUUGAGACAUUAAUGAAACUUGCACAGCAGCUUCAUUUGCAAUUGGCUUUGCCAGCAUUUUAUUUGCAGUACCAGGAGGCCCAAAAAGCAAUAUACCUCUACAUGGCUUUAUAUUAGAAGCAUUACCAACUCUUGAAGUGAUUAUUUGAUCUCAUCCAAUGCACCAACAUCUGCAAGUCUAACCCCUAUUUCGUUUUCAUGGAUAAGCUCUGGUCUUAUACGCUUCUCAAACUCGUUGUCACUUGUCAAGAACUUCCUGCAAGCAAGCAAUUACUAUAUAUAAGUUUAAGUAGACAAGAAGCACAGAAAAGUGCAAACUACAAUUGUUCCAUCAUCUAAAAGAGGGUGACGCUCUAAUCUGAAAUAUAGUGCUAUGUUUAACCAGAAAACUAAUAUGAAUGAUAACAAAUCAACAAUAAGUGUUACGUGCACGGUGCACAUAAUAAGCACUAGGUAACAUUUGUAUAACAAAAUAAGCUAUCUUUGAUCACAAAAAGUACAAAUUAAAGUGUGCUAUCAAAUUCAUUGUUUGAUCUACUUCAGAAAAAAAAUCACGAACUUAUCAGGAAAGAUGCAUCACUCAUGUUGCCGAUUCAUUUCAUUUCAUUGAUGAGCUUCUUUGUCGCCGAUGAGAUCCUUAGAAUUUUGUUGUUGAUGUUUGUUGCGCUAUCAUUUCAUUUCGUUUUUAGUUUAUCAUCACCUUCCUCGUUGCAUUUUCAUUUUUUUAACUCUGCCAUCGCCCCACCGCCGUGCAGCUGUGCUGCCUUCGCCCCGCCGCCAGGCCCCUGUGCAAGAAGCGUCAGGGCCCGCGCCACCCUCCAUCGUGGUACCCACCUUUUCUGUGCCCUUUUGAGGCUUAGGCACCAAGGGUUUUCAAACCCUUGUGCUUACUUUCGGGUUGGGCCGGGUCAUUUUAACUUCUAAUCUAAGCCCAAUAAAAAAAGCCGAAAAAAGAAAAAAAAUGUUGAACGGCUUAGUUUAUUAAGUCUGAAACAAAAACAAAAGUUAUUUACACCCUAUUUUUACACAUACACCUUCUUUUAUUUUGGACCUAGUUCAUUUUUGAGAAGCCUAAAAGAAAAGAAAUACUGCUAGCCAUACACAACUCUUUUUGCACAUACACCCUCUUUCAUUUCGGCUUAACUCAUUUGCUUAAAUCUGAAAUAAAAUAAAUAUCGCUGCCUUUACACAUACACCCCUUGCAUUUUGGGCCUAGUCUGUUUUCAAGAAGUCUUAGAUAAAAUAAAUAUUGCUAGCUACACCCCUUUCUCCAUGUAUGCUUCUCAAUGUAUGCAAUUUGACUUUGACCCUAAAUUAAUAAAUGAAUGAUAAUAAUAAUAAUAAUAAUAAUAAUAAUAAUAAUAAUAAAUUGAUAGAAAACUCUUUAUUUUUAUUUAAUUUUUCUAAUUGUCUCUAUUAUUUAUCUUAUUCGUCAAUUUGAUUGUUUCUUCAUUCCCCAAUUAGUUAGUUUAAGUUAUAAUGUGCUCUAAAUAUCCCGCUACAUAUAUUAUUUUCCCCCACAUUUCAACCCCGUAACCUUAAUUACUUAGUAUAUUUUUCACUUUUAUUCUAUCUUUUUCUAUUCUCAUUCGAUUUAUUUGAUUAGUUAACACUGUUAUUCAUUUAUUUUUGCAAUUUUGCAUUAGUAUUCAUUGGUAUGCACUUACGUUUUGUACACUACAUGUUGAGUCUCUGAUUUGCUUGAUAGUAUUUCAAUAAAAUAUGAGUAAAUUUAGUAAAUGUCAUGACUUUACAAAGUUUACAGCAAACCCAACAUCUUUUCUAAAGAGGAAAAAGAAUACUCAAAUAAAUAAUCAAUCAAUUUAUCUUUUUUAUGUUUUGUGCACCUCAUGUUGGAUUUUCGACUUACUUGAUGAUGUUUUAAUAACAUGUGAGUAAAUUUUGCUAAUGUCGUGCAAAGUCUCCAACUUUCUUGACUUCCUAACGUUUAUCACAACCAAAAUCUUUUCUAGAAAAGGGAGUAAAAAUAUUCAAAUAAAUAAACAUUCAAUUCUUUUUUUUCUCAAUGAAUAUUACACAUUACUCGAGAUUGUUUCAAUGCCUUAAGUGAUUCUCUCUAUUAUUUUUUUGAAAUUUAAUAUUAUUUCAAGGUCCAAUACUUUAAUGAUUCUUAUUCACACAAUUAAAUACAAAUCAUUCAAAAGAAGAUAAAAUCAACCAACACACAAGUUAUUUUUUUUUACCCAAAGAACUAUAUAAGUAUGAUUUCCUCAUUACACCUGGGGAUAUGUAUAAGUGAGGGAAAACCCCUUGUUGACCUAAAACACUAGGAAAUAAAAACAUAAAAUUUCUUCUUUACUAAAAAUAAAGAAUUUCUUUCUUUUUUUAAAUUAAACAAAAUAUAACAAACAUAAUUCAUGUUCUCAAGGGAAGAUAAAUACUUAAGAAGUUGCUUUUAUUUUUAUUAGAGUGAAUUAAAGGUUGUUAUCAUUAUGACAGAUACGUGAGGUGUUAAUACCUUUCACGUACAUAAAUAACUCCUGAAUCCUUUUUUUUACCAAAUUGUAAAUCAUUCCUUUUUUUUUUCCGAUGUUUUUCUUAAAUAAACAUUGAUAGCGAUUCUCAAAUUUUCUUUUGAAAAACUCACUCAACCGCCGCAUUGUGACAAUGACAAUAUUAUUUACAAAAGAAAUUAUAGUAAUAAUAUGUAGUGGAAAACACAAAUCAUAUUUCUUUUUUUAAAAAAAGAGAAUAAAUUCAUAUUUCUUGUUUUCAGUGUUACUUACAAAAAUGUUACUUUUGAUUCCUAUUCUCAAAAUUUCAAAUAAGAGGGGAAAAAGUUGUAAAAAAAUAUACCAAAAAAGUUAUAAUUUUUUAUUCAAAAAAGAUAAGAUGUUACUUUCAUGUUUGGUUUGGUUUAAAAUAAAAAUUAUGAAACUUAAAACUACAACUUAUAACUGAUUAUCAAGAAAUAACAAUAGGUUUGGGCAAUAGGCUGAUGCAUCAGUAAUAAAAAGCUAACAACUACCAAAUUCUAAUUCAGGAUGUAAACAAAACUCAACCUGAAUUGGAUUAGAAUAAAAAAUACCAAAACUAAAGUAAUUAAAAUCCUCGUUCAAGUAUACAGUAUACACAUCUAGAGAAACAACACCAAAGUUUCAAGAUACAACCAUUAAGUUAAUUCCGGUUCAAGUUGUCAUUUCAGCAAACACUAUAAUUUUCAAAAGCAAAAACAAUUCUCCCUAAUUACCACCAAGUUUGGUUGGCGACAAACCAUAUAAGUUUGAAUGGUUAAAGACUUAGGAUUUUCUUUGGUGCAAGAUAUGAAGAUCAAUAAAUAUUAUCUGGAUUACGAAUUAUAUACUAUGGCAGAUUUAAUAAUAAAAUAGUCUUAUCAUUCUUAUAAUUAAAAGAAAAAAAUAUGUUAUCUUUUAUUUUUUUAUAUAAGACCAUACGUAGGUAGUAUAUUAUACAGAACUUACAUAAGCACCACUUUUGUUGACACAGAAUUCCUUCAAAAGAAAUUAUCAAUCAAAAUCAAUGAAUUAGUAAUAGUCUGUAUAUUACGUUAGCAAAAUAUAGACAAAGGUCAAUGUGGGUAUCUUGCGAAUUUUCUAAGUCUUUUUGUUUUGUUCCCAAGUAUAUGGGUCAUGUCAAAAAAGAUAAGACGUUUUCCUUAAAUAAACAUUGAUGACGACUUCUCAAUUUUCUUUUGAAAAACUCACUUGACCGCCACAUUGGGACAAUGACAAUAUUAUUUACAAAAGAAAUUAUAAUAAUAAUAAUAAUAUGUUGUGGAAAACAUAAAUCAUAUUUCUUUUUUUUAAAGAAAAUAAAUUCAUAUUUCUUGUUUUCAGUGUUACUUACAAAAAUGUUACUUUUGAGUCCUAUUCUCAAAAUUUUAAAUAAGAGAAAAAUGUUGUAAAAAAGUAUACCAAAAAAGUUAUAAUUUUUUAUUCAAAAAAGAUAAGAUGUUACUUCCAUGUUUGGUUUGGUUUAAAAUAAAAAUUAUGAAACUUAAAAACUGAUUAUCAAGAAAUAACAAUAGGUUUGGGGAGUAGGCUCAUGCAUCGAUCAGUAAUAAAGAAAAAGCCAACACCUAUCAAAUUCUAAUUCAGAAUGUAAACAAAACUAAACCUGGAUUGGAUUAGAAAAAAAAAUACUCAAACUAAAGUAAAAUCGUCGUUCAAGUAUAUAGUAUACACAUUUAGAGAAACAACACCAAAGUUUCAAGAUACAACCAUUAAGUUAGUUCCGGUUCAAGUUGUCAUUUCAGCAAACACUAUAAUUUUCAAAAGCAAAAACAAUUCUCCCUAAUUACCAUUACCAAGUUUGGUUGGUGACAAACCUUAUAAGUUUGAAUGGUUUAAGACUUAGGAUUUUUUUCUGUGCAAGAUAUCAAGAUCAAUAAAUAUUGUCUGAAUUAUGAAUUAUAUACUAUCACAGAUUUAAUAAUAAAGUAGUCUUAUCAUUCUUAUAAUUAAAAGAAAAAAAUAUGUUAUCUUUUAUUUUUUAUAUAAAAGACCGUACGUAGGUAGUAUAUUAUACAGAACUUACAUAAGCACCACUUUUGUUGACACAGAAUUCCUUCAAAAGAAAUUAUCAAUCAAAAUCAAUGAAGUAAUAGUCUGUAUAUUACGUUAGCAAAAUAUAGACAAAGGUCAAUGUGGGUAUCUUGCGAAUUUUCUAAGUCUUUUUGUUUUGUUCCCAAGUACAAAGUCUAUUUAUGGGUCAUGUCACUUCACAAAAUUUUCCACAUUUGUUGUUUAGCGCAAUGACUGGAAUCUUAAAUUCUAAGUCUUUAUGGUUUUGUUUGGUUCCUACAUAGUCAUAUAAAUGGUCAUGUCACUAUAAAAAAAAUUUCACAUCUAUUAUUUUUGUAGGUAGUGCGAUGACUGGAGUAUUUUCUACGUCUUUCUUUGUUUUGUUCCAAUGGAGUCGUGUAAGGACCAUAUUACUUAUAAAAAAAUUUUAUACUUAAUUGUUUUUUAUGUAAUGUGAUGUUGAUUGGAGUGCUUCUUAAGUCUUUCUUUGUUUUGUUUCCGGAAAGUCAUACAAGGGCAUGCCACUUAAUAAAAAUUAAUUUCCAAUUCUCUGUUUGCAAAGUCAAUAAAUUUAUUCUAGAUGAAGAUAUAUAAUCACAGAACAUUUAGGAAAGCUACACAAAUGGAUGAGAAGAUUUAGAAGUUGUUGCGGAAGAUGCUGUAAAGGAAAAUACUUGAGGAAGCUCUGUUAUGAAUUAAAAUUAAAAAUGAGACCAAAUAAAUUCAGACACGACAUAGGCUUCUCUUGGUAUUUUUUAAUUUGUUAAGUAUAAGGAAUACUUUGUAAUUAACAUAUUCUGAAUCCAACAUAUAGCAAAAAUUGAUGAAAUAGAAAAUUCCUCCCUGUGACGUAAUAGAACUGCAAAUGAUGUAACUAUGAUAAGUCUUAUGGCACAAAAUAUUAAUAUGAACACGUACUCAAUUUGUAAUUCCUUAGAGAUUAAGGUGUAUAUAUAUUUCCAAAAAAAAUGUCAAGGUAGGUUAAAAAGAAAAAGAAAGGGGUGUAUAUAUAUUAAGUUUUAAUCUCAAUGAUAUAUUAUUUUUAAUCUUAAACCAAUAUUUUUUAUUUUUUGUUUCAAUUUUAGUCUUCAAACCGAUCUUUCUCUUAAGAUUAUGAUAUGACUCAUCUCCACUCAAACAAAUAAAACACACAAUAGACUUUAUUUUGAAUCUUUCUCCCCACACAGACAGAAAAAAAAAAGGCUCACACCAUUCACAUUUUUACAUGUAUAAUAGAAUAUAGUGGCUUUUUCCAAUUUUUGAAUGUCAUUACUAUUUUUAAGUACGAUAUUCUAUUAGCUAUAUUUUUCAAUCAUAUAUUAUUUUCAUGAAAAUUGAUGAUAUAUUUUUUCAAGUCCUAUUAAUUAAUAAAUUUAUUCUAUAUUUGAUAUUUGAUAUAUUGAUGUAUAGUAAUAAUAAAAUUAUAGCCAAUUAAGAAUUUUAAAAAUUGUAGAAAGUAUUGAUUUUUGGUGUGAAUGGAAUUGUUUUAAUAUAUUGAAUAUUUUAGUUUUUCUCUCAAUAUUCUCUUCUUCCUUUUUUUGAAUAUAUAUAUAUAUAUAUAUAUAUAUAUAUAUAUAUAUAUUCUUCUUCCUUAAGAACAUGAACAUGCUCACUUUAAUAAAAAAAAUUAUUUAUGGGUCUAUUGAUAUCUAGGGCAAAUAGAUUAAUUAACUUUAGAUUUGAAUGCCCUCUUCAAGUAUGAUAUACUUUUUUAAACCUAAUUUUUUCUUCUUCAAUAAGAACAUGGUCACUUUUUCCAACUAAACCCAAUUUGAAUGCCAAUUCAAGCACGGUAUGAUUUUAAUGUCAAUUACAUAUAAUUUGAAGUCCUGCACUUGUUUAGGAUGAUUUGGAUGAAAAUAAAUUGGGAAGAAGUGAAGGAAAAUGAAAUGGAAACUUUUGGUUUAGAUGGGAUGGAAAUUAAAAUGAAGUAAAAAUAAAUUUAUUGGAGUCCAAAAAAAAAAUCCUCAAAAACAGUGGUGAAAUGGAGGAUUAUGUUUGAAGUAAUAUUAAUUUUACGGGAGGAUUCCUAAAUAAUAUAAAAUUCACUCAUUUUUUUCAUUUUUAUUUAUAAAAAAAUAGAUAAAUUUUCCACUUCGUUUCUCUCUUAUUUCUAUCUUUUUUUUUCUCUUUCAUUUUUUUCUAUUUCAUCUCUAAUCCAAAUAAAGUGCAAAAGUAACGGAUGAGUUAAUCUUUUUAAAAGUUUUUUUUUCUUUCAAAGUGCUAUUUUUUGCUUUCAUAAAUUACAAAUUUUGUGCUUAUUAAUUUUCUAAUUAUUUUAAAUAUGAAAUUGCAUUACUAUAUACGAUCAACUUUAUGUGACUUGUUGACUGGAGACUUUUCCAAGUCUCCCUUGAUAUAUAUGGUUUAGAAUGUUACAUUAUUUUUAAGUCUUUUUUAUUUAUUUAUUUGGUUAUAUAUUAAAUUGAAAAAUAAAAAGAAAAGUGGGAACUUAACUAGGAACUGUGCUGUUGUUGUGUGGGAACCUAAGUACAUUUUAGCAUCUUUAAACUGAAAACAAUUUAGUCAAAAUGCGUAACAAAAUAUAGGUCAAGUAAUUAGUGGACAAAAUCUUGCUGUCACCAUAGAUUUAGGUUGUAUUUAGGUCAAUUACUUAAAAUAUUGUUAAUUGAUAGUUGAAACUUUAGAUGAAAUUAAAAAGUUUGAAUUAUUCUAAAAAUAGUUGUGGUAGAAGCAAACAUGACCACAGAAGUCCUAACUAUUAUUUAGACGUGUUAUAGUACCACCAAUACGAGGUCUGAUUGGAAAUUAGCUGUGUGUCGAACCCAUCUCAUAGCGUGCAUGCGUGCUCCAAAUCUCUUUAACAAAUUAAAUACCAAGCUUUUUUUAUCCAAUUUCUUCUUUUUUAUCUUUUGUUUAUCCGUAAGAAUCAAAGAUAAUAACAAAAGAUAUAUAAUAAUUUAUAAAUCUUAUUCAACCAGCUAAACUAAAUCCCCUAGCUAUCCAAAUCCGUUUAACUUUUAAAUAACAAAAUAAAAGUUAUACACACUUUUAUAUUUCAACAUUUUUACCAUUAUUCAUAGUUUUAGUUACUUGUUUAUAUUUUAGAAACGUCAUAAUACUUACGUCUUUUGCUUUUAUAUUUAUAACAUAAAUAUAUAGAAUAUAACAUGUAUAAUAUAAAUAAUAUAAAAAGAGCUGAUAAUUAAAAAAAACGGGAAAGAAAUAAUUAUAAAAUAAACAUAACUAAUCAGACUAUUUGCAUCAAAAGAAAUUAUUUGAAUAUAUUUUACAUACUUGGAAGAAUUUAUGAGUGGCCCAACCGUUGAGAAAUGUGACUUCCAUUAACCAUCCCGAUGUUAUAUAUAUGCAUGCCUAUUGGUAGUGCUAAAGUCAUCAGUAUCAUUCUAAUUCUCAUAUUCAGUGGAUUCAUUUCAUCAAUCACUUUGCCUUUCUGAUCAUAAUCACCAAAAUGCCAACCAUGAAUCCAGUUCGUUUCAAAUACAUGCAAGCCAUAAUAAUAUUUAUGAUGUUGCAGGUUCGUUCAUGUUUUCUCAUUUGAAUGUAUUUGUGAAAAUCGCAAUUCAAAUCUCAUUUGAUUUCAAUGAAUUUCAAUUUCCUUAAAUUUUUAUUCACAGUUUUGUCAUUUUUUUCUUCUUAAAAUAGAUCAUUCUCCUAUGUUUUGUUCAUUGUUUUUUGGGUUCAUAAUGUUUCGGAUUGAAUUAGAGGUUGAAGCACCGUUUGUUUUGCCCCCUUAUUUUUUGUUUUCAAGGUUGAAUCAUGAUAUAUGUAGAUGUUGAACCAUCAAAUAUGAUAGUGGCAACAAGGCAUAAAUAGUGAUGACAAGGAUAAUGACAACAACAAUAAAGACAAAGACAAUAAUAAUAUUACAUUCUAUGUUUAUAAUUAAGUUUUAAUCUCAAUAUAUAUUAUUUUUAAUUUUAAUUCAAUAAUUUCAAUGAUAUAUUAUUUUUAAUCUUAAUUCAAUAAUUUUCAUUUUUCCCAUUUUAACCUUCAAAAUGAUCUUUCUCUUAAGAUUCAAAUAUAAUCCAUUUCGACUUAAACAUACAAUAAAUUUUAUUUUCAAUCUCUCUCCGUACGCACACACAAAAAAGGCUCACACCAUGCAUACACUUUUUUAUGUGUAGAGUAGAAUAUAGUGGCUUUUUUCAAUUUUUGAAUGUCAUUACUCUUUUUAAGUUCUAUUAGCUAUAUUUGUCAAUCAUACAUUAUUUUCAUGACAAAUUGAUGAUAUAUUUUUUCAAGUCAUCCCUUGAAAGUGUCAUAGUAUUAAUUUUUUAUUAUAUUAAGGAGUACAUAUUUUGGUUGAUAUAUAAGACAAAUAUAAAAUUGAUAUUAAGAAAUUUAUUUUAUAUUUGAUAUUUAAUAUAUUGAUGUAUAGGAAUAAUGAAAUUAUAGCCAAUUAAGAAUUUUAAAAAUUAUAGAAAGUAUUGGGUUUUGGUGUGAAUUUAAUUGGAAUUGAAUUGUUUUAAUUUAUUGAAUAUUUUAGUUCUUUUUUCUCAAUAUUCUCUUCUUCCUUUUUUUAAAGCAUAUAUAUAUAUAUAUAUAUAUAUAUAUAUAUAUAUAUAUAUAUAUAUAUAUAUAUAUAUAUAUAUAUAUAUAUAUUUAAUAAUAAAAAAAUCAUUUAUGGGUCUAUUAGUAUCUAGGACAAAUAGAUUAAUUAACUUUAAAUUUGAAUGUCCUCUUCAAGCAUGGUAUAUGUUUUUAAACCCAAUUUCCUCUUCUUCGUUAAGAACAUGGUUACUUUUUUCAACUAAACCUACUUUGAAUGCCACUUCAAGCACGUUAUGAUUUUAAUGUCAAUUACAUAUAAUUUGAAGUCCUCCACUAGGAUCAUUUGGAAGGAAAUAAAUUGGGAAGAAGUGAGGAACUUUUGGUUUAGAUGGACUGAAAAUAAAAUGAAGUAAAACAAAUUUAGUGGGGUAAAAAAAAUGAAAUGGGAACUUUUGAUUUAGAUGGGAUGGAAAUGAAAAUGAAGUAAAAACAAAUUUAGUGGGGUCCAAAAAAAAAUUGAUUCCUCAAAAACAGUGGUAAAAUGGGAGGAUUUUGUGAGAAGCAAUAUUGAUUUUAUGGGAGGAUUCCUAAAAAAAACACUCAUUUUUUUACUAUUUCUAUUUAAACAAUAUAAAUUCUCUACCUUGUUUCUCUUUUAUUUCUAUCUUUUUUUCUCUUUCAUUUUUCUCUAUUUCAUCUCUAAUCCAAACAAAGUGCAAAAGUUACGGAUGAGUAAUCUUUUUAAUUUUUUUAAAAAACUUUUUUUUUGCAACUUCUUGACUGGAGACUUUUCCAAGUCUUCCCUUGAUAUAUAUCGUUUAGAAUGCUACAUUAUUUUUAUUUAAUUGGUUAAAUAUUAAAUUGGAAAAUAAAAGAAAAAUGGGAACAUAGCAGCAAUUGUGCCAUUGUUGUGUAGUGAUAGUCACUUUUACUAAUAUAAUAUAUAUAUAUAUAUAUAUAUAUAUAUAUAUAUAUAUAUAUAUAUAUAUAUACACUACAUUAGUUAAGUACAUUUUAGCAUUUUUAAACUGAAAAUCUUUCGGUCGAAAUGCAUAACAAAAUAUGGGUCAAGUAAUUAGUGCACAAAAUCUUGCUCAUAAUUUUUGCCACCAUAGAUUCAGGUUGUGUUUUGGACGAUUACUUAAAAUAUUGCUAAUUGAUAGUUAAAAUUGUAGAUGAAAUUAUAAAGUUUGAAAGUUGAAAAGUUAAAAACUGAAAGCUAAAAAUAUAUAAGUCAAUGGAUUCAAUUAUAUUUGAAGUAUUUUAUAAUAUUAUCUAAUAAAUAAAUUUUCUCCUAACUUCUCUUUUAAAUAUAUACCAAUUUUAUUGGUUAAUGUUUGUAAAAAAAUAAUAUGAACUAAUAAAAUUGUUACAUAUUUAAAAGAGAAGUUAGGAACAAAAUUUAUUUUAAAAUUAAAAUAAAAAUUCAAUGGCAUUUGGAUGAAAGUUUUCGUUCAAAAAUUUCCCUUAAAAUAAUUAUUUUUCUAAAGUGUUGUAUGCCGAACCCAUUUCAUAGCGACCAUGUUUAUAUGCUUCAAAUCUUUUCAGCAAAUUAAAUACCAAGCUAAGAUUUUUCUUUUAUCCAAUUCUCCCCUUCUUCUCCUUUAUUUUUUUUAUCUAUUGAAAUCAAAGAUAAUAUAAAAAAAUUUAUAUUAAUUUCCAACUAAUUAAAUUAACCCCCUAGACUAUUCAAAUUAUUUUAACUUUUAAAUAACAAAAUAAAAGUUAUACACACAUUUUUAUUAAAAGUAUGAAUAUCUAAAACUUUUUUUUACUGUUAUUUAUUAAAAGUAAAAAAUAAACUCCAGUUGGUUUGAAAUUCAUGGAAGGCAUAAUAAUAUUAAUGAUGUUUCAGGUUGUUGUUUCUGCUCAAGACCAUAUUAUGUGCAUUCAGACUGAGAGGGAAGCACUCCUCCAAUUCAAGGCUGCACUUCUGGAUCCCUAUGGCAUGCUCUCUUCUUGGACCACUUCUGAUUGCUGCCAAUGGCAAGGGAUUCGCUGCACUAACCUCACCGCCCAUGUUCUAAUGCUCGACCUUCACGGUGGUGAGUUUAAUUAUAUGAGCGGAGAGAUCCACAAGUCGUUGAUGGAGUUGCAACAAUUAAAGUAUUUAAACCUCAGUUGGAAUUCUUUUCAAGGCAGAGGAAUCCCAGAGUUUCUUGGUUCUCUCACCAACUUGAGAUACCUUGAUCUGGAAUAUUGUCGUUUUGGCGGAAAAAUUCCAACUCAGUUUGGCUCUCUUUCUCAUUUGAAAUACUUAAAUCUUGCUUUGAAUUCUCUGGAGGGUUCAAUCCCUCGUCAACUUGGAAAUCUCUCCCAGUUGCAGCAUCUUGAUCUCAGCGCCAAUCAUUUUGAAGGAAAUAUACCCUCUCAAAUUGGAAAUCUCUCCCAGUUGCUGCAUCUUGAUCUCAGCUACAAUUCUUUUGAAGGAAGUAUACCGUCCCAACUUGGGAACCUUUCAAAUUUGCAGAAGCUUUAUCUUGGAGGCGGUGCUCUCAAAAUUGACGAUGGAGAUCAUAGGCUGUCUAAUCUCAUUUCUUUAACCCAUCUUUCCGUGUUACAGAUGCCUAAUCUCAACACUUCUCAUAGCUUCCUCCAAAUGAUUGCCAAGCUACCAAAACUUAGAGAACUGAGUUUAAGUGAAUGUAGCCUUCCCGAUCAGUUUAUCCUUCCAUUGAGGCCCUCUAAAUUCAAUUUUUCUAGUUCCCUUUCCGUCCUUGAUCUUUCCUUCAACAGCCUCACGUCAUCAAUGAUACUCCAGUGGCUGUCCAACGUCACUUCCAACCUUGUUGAGCUUGACCUUAGUUAUAACCUCUUGGAGGGUUCCACAUCAAACCAUUUUGGCCGUGUAAUGAAUUCUCUUGAGCACCUCGACCUCUCAUAUAAUAUAUUCAAGGCUGACGAUUUCAAAUCCUUCGCGAAUAUAUGCACCUUACAUUCUUUAUACAUGCCAGCAAACCAUUUGACUGAAGACCUUCCAUCAAUCCUUCAUAAUUUGUCUAGUGGUUGUGUUAAACACUCAUUACAAGAUUUGGAUUUGUCAGAUAAUCAAAUCACUGGCUCUUUACCCGACCUUUCAGUAUUCUCAUCUCUAAAAUCAUUGUUUCUUGAUCAAAAUCAAUUAAGGGGAAAGAUACCUGAAGGCAUCCGCUUACCGUUUCAUUUGGAAUCUCUGUCAAUCCAAUCAAACUCUUUAGAAGGUGGAAUUCCCAAAUCAUUUGGGAACUCAUGUGCUUUGAGAUCACUGGAUAUGUCUGGUAACAAUUUGAAUAAAGAGCUUUCGGUGAUAAUUCAUCAAUUGUCUGGGUGUGCCAGAUUCUCGCUGCAAGAAUUGAACAUAGGAGGAAAUCAAAUCAAUGGUACGCUUUCUGACCUUUCAAUAUUCUCUGCCUUGAAAACAUUGGGUCUUUCACGAAAUCAAUUAAAUGGAAAAAUUCCAGAGAGUACCAAAUUGCCAUCUCUGUUAGAGUCUUUGUCAAUUGGAUCAAACUCUUUAGAAGGUGGAAUUCACAAAUCAUUUGGGGAUGCAUGUGCUUUGCGCUCAUUGCACAUGCCUAAUAAUAGCUUGAGUGAAGAGUUUCCAAUGAUAAUCCAUCACUUGUCUGGAUGUGCUAGAUAUUCAUUGGAACGAUUAUAUCUAAGCAUGAAUCAAAUCAAUGGUACGCUUCCUGACCUUUCAAUAUUCUCAUCUUUAAGAGGAUUAUAUCUUGAGGGAAACAAGCUAAAUGGAGAGAUUCCUAAAGAUAUUAAAUUUCCACCUCAACUGGAGAGACUAGAUAUGCAAUCAAAUUCCUUGAAGGGUGUGCUCACUGACUAUCAUUUCGCUAAUAUGUCUAAGUUAGACCACUUGGAGUUAUCUGACAACUCUUUAGUGACCUUGGCAUUUAGCCAAAAUUGGGUCCCACCAUUUCAGUUGCGCUUCAUAGGAUUGCGAUCUUGCAAGCUAGGUCCAGUAUUUCCCAAAUGGUUGGAGACACAAAAUCAAUUUCAGGGUAUUGACAUUUCAAAUGCUGGAAUAGCAGAUAUGGUUCCAAAGUGGUUUUGGGCUAAUUUAGCAUUCCGAGAAUUGAUUUCAAUGAAUAUUUCAUACAAUAAUCUCCAUGGUAUAAUUCCAAAUUUUCCAAUAAGGAAUAUUCAACAUUCCCUAAUUCUUGGAUCAAAUCAAUUUGAUGGCCCUGUUCCACCAUUUCUGCGAGGUUUCGUAUUUCUUGAUUUAUCCAAAAAUAAAUUCUCAGAUUCUCUUUCAUUUUUAUGUGUGAAUGUUAAAGUUGAAACUUUGUACGAAUUAGACCUUUCAAAUAAUCAUUUCUCUGGAAAAAUUCCGGACUGUUGGAGCCAUUUCAAGUCAUUAACUUAUUUGGACUUAAGUCACAAUAAUUUUUCAGGAAGGAUACCCACAUCCAUGGGAUCUCUUCUUCAUCUUCAAGCAUUGCUAUUGAGAAACAACAACUUAACAGAUGAGAUACCUAUCUCCUUGAGGAGUUGUACAAAUCUAGUAAUGCUAGAUAUUUCAGAAAACAGAUUAUCAGGGCUUAUCCCUGCUUGGAUUGGGAGCGAAUUACAAGAGUUGCAAUUUUUAAGUUUGGGAAGAAAUAAUUUCCAUGGAAGUUUACCAUUGCAAAUUUGCUACCUAAGUGACAUUCAACUCUUGGAUGUGUCACUAAACCGCAUGUCUGGGCAAAUUCCUAAAUGCAUAAAAAAUUUUACUUCAAUGACUCAAAAGACAUCUUCAAGAGAUUAUCAAGGUCAUUCAUAUCUUGUCAAUACCAUUGGCAUUUAUUAUUAUUAUACAUAUGAUUUGAAUGCACUCUUGAUGUGGAAAGGUUCAGAACAAAUGUUCAAAAAUAAUGUGUUACUACUUUUAAAAAGCAUUGAUCUCUCAAGCAAUCACUUUUCUGGAGAAAUUCCACUGGAAAUAGAGGAUUUAUUUGGAUUGGUUUCAUUGAAUUUAUCAAGAAACCAUUUGACCGGAGCGAUUCCUUCAAAUAUUGGAAAGUUAACAUUACUUGACUUUCUUGAUUUGUCAAGAAACCAUCUAAUUGGUUCAAUUCCAUGGAGUCUUACUCAAAUUGAUCGACUCGGCGUGUUAGAUUUGUCACAUAACAAUCUAUCUGGAGAAAUUCCAACUGGUACACAAUUACAGAGUUUCAAUGCCUCAUGUUAUGAAGAUAAUCUUGAUCUUUGUGGACCGCCACUAGAGAAAUUGUGUAUUGAUGGGAAGCCUGCACAGGAACCAAUUGUUAAACUUCCUGAAGAUGAAAAUUUGCUUUUCACCCGUGAAUUUUACAUGAGUAUGGCAAUUGGAUUUGUUAUAAGCUUUUGGGGCGUUUUUGGCUCAAUCUUAAUGAAUCGUUCUUGGAGACAUGCUUAUUUCAAGUUCAUAAGCAAUUUAUCAGACGCUAUUUAUGUCAUGGUAGCAGUGAAAGUUUUCAAGUGGCGUCACAGACGAUAGCUGGUAACAAUAUUUUAGUCUUCGUAUAUAUACUUCAUUUUCCUUUAUAUGAUAAAUAUAGUCACAAACCANNNNNNNNNNNNNNNNNNNNNNNNNNNNNNNNNNNNNNNNNNNNNNNNNNNNNNNNNNNNNNNNNNNNNNNNNNNNNNNNNNNNNNNNNNNNNNNNNNNNNNNNNNNNNNNNNNNNNNNNNNNNNNNNNNNNNNNNNNNNNNNNNNNNNNNNNNNNNNNNNNNNNNNNNNNNNNNNNNNNNNNNNNNNNNNNNNNNNNNNNNNNNNNNNNNNNNNNNNNNNNNNNNNNNNNNNNNNNNNNNNNNNNNNNNNNNNNNNNNNNNNNNNNNNNNNNNNNNNNNNNNNNNNNNNNNNNNNNNNNNNNNNNNNNNNNNNNNNNNNNNNNNNNNNNNNNNNNNNNNNNNNNNNNNNNNNNNNNNNNNNNNNNNNNNNNNNNNNNAAAUCUUGAUAUUUUAAAAACCAUCUUUUAGAAUUUUGUUAAUACUGUAAUAUAAUCAAUUUUUGAUAAAUAUUUUUCUAAAAAGUAUAUAAUAAGUUCAAAGAGUCUAAUUACUAAUUAGUAUUAACUUCAAUGUGUUGAAGUUUUACAUGGGAAUCUAUUAAUAUUAAUAUAUUUAAUUUUAUUUAUUUUUAUACCAUUUCAUAUUAGUUAAAUAAAUUAAAGAAAUGAUUAUUAAUAUUGUUAUAUUAAAUUGAGUAGGUUAUAAAACUUCUUUACACUAACAUUUCAUAUUAAACAAAUCAAAAUACUUUUACCUAUUUUCUAAUCCCAAAAUAAUAGCUACAUACAAAUAAAGUAUAUUGUUUUUCUUGAUAUAUAUUUUUCCUCCUUAUAAAUACUUUUACCUAUUUUCUAUCUCACGUUCUACUUUUUGAUAUAGCUUUUAGUGUUGGUGAUUUUCUUGGCAUUCCAAUUUUUUCUCUAUUCUUUUAUUAUUUCUAGUUGAGGACAAAUUUUGAAGGAUCGAUAUUUUAAUUUUUGGCAGAAAAAUUCUGAAUUGUAGGUGCCAGCUUGUUGAGGUGGAAAAUGCAAAGAGACACUUUUAAUUUGGAGGUGAGAAGGCAUCUCUCACAGUUGGAUUUGGAGACCGAGAGAGAAUUAAGGAAGGCUUCUAGAGCUUGAGGGAGCCAAUUGUGAUUGUGAUCCAUCUAGUUUAUUUUCCUUUUUAAUUUCUAAGCAUUUUGUUUGUAGUUUGGCCUUUAAAUCUGAACUGGUUGUUUUGUAUGAAGUUGAUGAAUCUUCAUAAUAAUGGGAACUGAGAGGUUUGGUUAUUGCUUCUUCAUUUUUGGGUCAUGCUAUUUGAUUAUGUAGAAAUAGAAAACCGUGUUUGAUCUAGGGAUUUUGUGUUGCUUUUGUACAUUAGUCUCAUGAUUUCAUUUAAGGAAUUAAGUUAUAUGAGAUUAAAAGGAUUCAUUGCCAAGGAAUUGAAUGUCAAUUACCGCUGCAAAAACUGAUCUUAAACUUGGGCAAAGUUGUUUGGACUAGGUGGAAAUUGGGUUGUUACUUCAACAAUCCGUAAAAUCAAAACUUAACUGUGACAGGUGUGAGCACUAUGUCCCUUCUUUGAGCAGAGUUGGCAAAUACACACUUGAGAUACAUCUCAUAGUUCUGCAAUUUAACAAAUACCUCAUCAAAAGAGGGCAAGGUGCUUUGCCAAUGACAUAGCCUUCAAGGUCACGAAUAAGCUUAGACUGAUACCAUAUAGAGAAUGAAUAAGUUGUUUAUUUUAAACACAAUUUGAAUACAAGGCAGCAACAUUUAUAAAGUUGUCUGUUACAGUUAGAUAAGAUAGAAGUUUUCUAAUUUUAAUUAUUAAGCAGUACAGUUGCACAAUCAAUUUACAAAAUUCUGAUUAUAUAAUACAGCAUACCUAAAAUGUUUGGUGUAAAAUAUUCCUACUUCCUACAAAGCCAUUGCAUCUUCCAAAACCAUGCAUGACAUAAUAUAAAUCCCCUAACACAGGUGCUCAUUUGUUUGUAGACAACCCAAACGAAAACUGAGAACCCAUUCCCAAACAUAGUGCAUGACGAUCCACACGUCCUUUAGAGAAGAUGUGUGUGGUAGAACUUGUGAUUUUCUGGGAAUCAUGAUAUCCCUGUGACAUUUGGGAUAUAGUGAGACAUUUGGGCAUGCUUUGAGUUCAACAUCUCUGAUGAAGGACUUCUUUCUUUGUUAAAGGUAUCAUUGAGGAUGAAUGGUCACAAAUCCAAAAAUAAAUGUAGCAUUCCACAAUCUAAAGGAAGUAAGUGAGCUGUUGUUUCUUCCUCGAACCUCCUUCACCAUACAAAUCAUUCCAGUGCUUCAACUCAUUCAUUACAGAUCCUUCUGAUGCAAAACUUGCAGCCUCUUGCAUUUAAUCAGAUAUCCGUAAGUUCAUGAAUUUACAAAGUUUACCGCAAACCCAACAUCUUUUUUAAAGAGGCAAAAAUACUCAAAUAAAUAAUCACUCAAUUUAUCUUUUUUAUGUUUCAUGCAUCUUAUGUUGGGUUUCUGACUUAUUUGAUGGUGUUUGAAUAACAUGUGAGUAAAUUUUGCUAAUGUUGUGGUAGGUCUCCAACUUUCUUUACUUGGUAACGUUUAUCACAACCAAAAUCUUUUCUGAAAAGGGAGUCAAAAUGUUCAAAUAAAUGAGCAUUCAAUUCUUUUUUUUUUCCUGAAUGAAUAUUACACAUUACUCGAAUCGUUUUAAUGCUUUAAGCGAUUCUCUCUAUUAUAUUUUUUAAAAUUCAAUAUCAUUUCAAGGUUUAACACUUUAACGACUCUUAUUCACACAAUUAAAUACAAAUCAUUCAAAAAAAGAUAAAAUCAACCAACACACAAGUUAUUUUUUACCCAAAGAACUACAUAAGUCUGAUUUUCUCAUUACACAUGAGGAUAUGUAUGAAUAAGGGAAAACCCCUUGUUGACCUAAAACACUAGGAAAAAAAAUAUGAAAUUUCCUCUUUACUAAAAAUAAAAAUUUGUUUUAAUUUUUAAAUUAAACAAAAUAUAGCAAACAUAAUUCAUGUUCUAAAGGGAAGAUAAAUAAUUAAGAAGUCGCUUUUAUUUUUAUUAGACUAAAUUAAAGGUUGUCAUCUUCAUGACGGAUAAGUGAGGUGUUAAUACCUUUCACGUAAAUAAUUUUUGAAUCCUUUUUUUUUCUCAAAUUGUAAAUCAUUUCAUAUUUUUUUUUUGCUUUUUUAACGUUUUCCUUAAAUAAACGUUGAUGACGACUUCUCAAUUUUCUUUUGAAAAACUCACUUGACUGCCACAUUGGGACAAUGACAAUAUUAUUUACAAAAGAAAUAAUAAUAAUAAUAAUGAUAAUAUGUUGUGGAAAACAUAAAUCAUAUUUCUUUUUUUUAAAGAAAAUAAAUUCAUAUUUUUUGUUUUCAGUGUUACUUACAAAAAUGCUACUUUUGAGUCCUAUUCUCAAAAUUUUAAAUAAGAGAGAAAAAUGUUGUAAAAAAGUAUACCAAAAAAGUUAUAAUUUUUUAUUCAAAAAAGAUAAGAUGUUACUUCCAUGUUUGGUUUGGUUUAAAAUAAAAAUUAUGAAACUUAAAAACUGAUUAUCAAAAAAUAACAAUAGGUUUGGGGAGUAGGCUCAUGCAUCGAUCAGUAAUAAAGAAAAAGCCAACACCUAUCAAAUUCUAAUUCAGAAUGUAAACAAAACUAAACCUGGAUUGGAUUAGAAAAAAAAUACUCAAACUAAAGUAAAAUCGUCGUUCAAGUAUAUAGUAUACACAUCUAGAGAAUCAGCACCAAAGUUUCAAGAUACAACCAUUAAGUUAGUUCCGGUUCAAGUUGUCAUUUCAGCAAACACUAUAAUUUUCAAAAGCAAAAACAAUUCUCCCUAAUUACCACCAAGUUUGGUUGGUGACAAAACUUAUAAGUUUGAAUGGUUUAAGACUUAGGAUUUUUUUCUGUGCAAGAUAUCAAGAUCAAUAAAUAUUGUCUGAAUUAUGAAUUAUAUACUAUCACAGAUUUAAUAAUAAAGUAGUCUUAUCAUUCUUAUAAUUAAAAGAAAAAAAUAUGUUAUCUUUUAUUUUUUAUAUAAAAGACCGUACGUAGGUAGUAUAUUAUACAGAACUUACAUAAGCACCACUUUUGUUGACACAGAAUUCCUUCAAAAGAAAUUAUCAAUCAAAAUCAAUGAAGUAAUAGUCUGUAUAUUACGUUAGCAAAAUAUAGACAAAGGUCAAUGUGGGUAUCUUGCGAAUUUUCUAAGUCUUUUUGUUUUGUUCCCAAGUACAAAGUCUAUUUAUGGGUCAUGUCACUUCACAAAAUUUUCCACAUUUGUUGUUUAGCGCAAUGACUGGAAUCUUAAAUUCUAAGUCUUUAUGGUUUUGUUUGGUUCCUACAUAGUCAUAUAAAUGGUCAUGUCACUAUAAAAAAAAUUUCACAUCUAUUAUUUUUGUAGGUAGUGCGAUGACUGGAGUAUUUUCUACGUCUUUCUUUGUUUUGUUCCAAUGGAGUCGUGUAAGGACCAUAUUACUUAUAAAAAAAUUUUAUACUUAAUUGUUUUUUAUGUAAUGUGAUGUUGAUUGGAGUGCUUCUUAAGUCUUUCUUUGUUUUGUUUCCGGAAAGUCAUACAAGGGCAUGCCACUUAAUAAAAAUUAAUUUCCAAUUCUCUGUUUGCAAAGUCAAUAAAUUUAUUCUAGAUGAAGAUAUAUAAUCACAGAACAUUUAGGAAAGCUACACAAAUGGAUGAGAAGAUUUAGAAGUUGUUGCGGAAGAUGCUGUAAAGGAAAAUACUUGAGGAAGCUCUGUUAUGAAUUAAAAUUAAAAAUGAGACCAAAUAAAUUCAGACACGACAUAGGCUUCUCUUGGUAUUUUUUAAUUUGUUAAGUAUGAGGAAUACUUUGUAAUUAACAUAUUCUGAAUCCAACAUAUAGCAAAAAUUGAUGAAAUAGAAGAUUCCUCCCUGUGACGUAAUAGAACUGCAAAUGAUGUAACUAUGAUAAGUCUUAUGGCACAAAAUAUUAAUAUGAACACGUACUCAAUUUGUAAUUCCUUAGAGAUUAAGGUGUAUAUAUAUUUCCAAAAAAAAUGUCAAGGGAGGUUAAAAAGAAAAAGAAAGGGGUGUAUAUAUAUUAAGUUUUAAUCUCAAUGAUAUAUUAUUUUUAAUCUUAAACCAAUAUUUUUUAUUUUUUUUUUCAAUUUUAGUCUUCAAACUGAUCUUUCUCUUAAGAUUAUGAUAUGACUCAUCUCCACUCAAACAAAUAAUACACACAAUAGACUUUAUUUUGAAUCUUUCUCCCCACACAGACAGAAAAAAAAAAAGGCUCACACCAUUCACAUUUUUACAUGUAUAAUAGAAUAUAGUGGCUUUUUCCAAUUUUUGAAUGUCAUUACUCUUUUUAAGUACGAUAUUCUAUUAGCUAUGUUUGUCAAUCAUAUAUUAUUUUCAUGAAAAAUUGAUGAUAUAUUUUUUCAAGUCCUAUUAAUUAAUAAAUUUAUUCUAUAUUUGAUAUUUGAUAUAUUGAUGUAUAGUAAUAAUAAAAUUAUAGCCAAUUAAGAAUUUUAAAAAUUGUAGAAAGUAUUGAUUUUUGGUGUGAAUGGAAUUGUUUUAAUAUAUUGAAUAUUUUAGUUUUUCUCUCAAUAUUCUCUUCUUCCUUUUUUUGAAUAUAUAUAUAUAUAUAUAUAUAUAUAUAUAUAUAUAUAUAUAUAUAUAUAUAUAUAUAUAUUCUUCUUCCUUAAGAACAUGAACAUGCUCACUUUAAUAAAAAAAAAUUAUUUAUGGGUCUAUUGAUAUCUGGGGCAAAUAGAUUAAUUAACUUUAGAUUUGAAUGUCCUCUUCAAGUAUGAUAUACUUUUUUAAACCUAAUUUUUUCUUCUUCAAUAAGAACAUGGUCACUUUUUCCAACUAAACCCAAUUUGAAUGCCAAUUCAAGCACGGUAUGAUUUUAAUGUCAAUUACAUAUAAUUUGAAGUCCUGCACUUGUUUAGGAUGAUUUGGAUGAAAAUAAAUUGGGAAGAAGUGAAGGAAAAUGAUAUGGAAACUUUUGGUUUAGAUGGGAUGGAAAUUAAAAUGAAGUAAAAAUAAAUUUAUUGGAGUCCAAAAAAAAAUCCUCAAAAACAGUGGUGAAAUGGAGGAUUAUGUUUGAAGUAAUAUUAAUUUUACGGGAGGAUUCCUAAAUAAUAUAAAAUUCACUCAUUUUUUUUCAUUUUUAUUUAUCCAAAAAAAAAGAUAAAUUUUCCACUUCGUUUCUCUCUUAUUUCUAUCUUUUUUUUCUCUUUCAUUUUUUUCUAUUUCAUCUCUAAUCCAAAUAAAGUGCAAAAGUAACGGAUGAGUUAAUCUUUUUAAAAGUUUUUUUUUCUUUCAAAGUGCUAUUUUUUGCUUUCAUAAAUUGCAAAUUUUGUGCUUAUUAAUUUUCUAAUUAUUUUAAAUAUGAAAUUGCAUUACGAUAUACGAUCAACUUUGUGUGACUUGUUGACUGGAGACUUUUCCAAGUCUCCCCUUGAUAUAUAUCGUUUAGAAUGUUACAUUAUUUUUAAGUCUUUUUUAUUUAUUUAUUUGGUUAUAUAUUAAAUUGAAAAAUAAAAAGAAAAGUGGGAACUUAACUAGGAACUGUGCUGUUGUUGUGUGGGAACCUAAGUACAUUUUAGCAUCUUUAAACUGAAAACAAUUUAGUCAAAAUGCGUAACAAAAUAUAGGUCAAGUAAUUAGUGGACAAAAUCUUGCUGUCACCAUAGAUUUAGGUUGUAUUUAGGUCAAUUACUUAAAAUAUUGUUAAUUGAUAGUUGAAACUUUAGAUGAAAUUAAAAAGUUUGAAUUAUUCUAAAAAUAGUUGUGGUAGAAGCAAACAUGACCACAGAAGUCCUAACUAUUAUUUAGACGUGUUAUAGUACCACCAAUACGAGGUCUGAUUGGAAAUUAGCUGUGUGUCGAACCCAUCUCAUAGCGUGCAUGCGUGCUCCAAAUCUCUUUAACAAAUUAAAUACCAAGCUUUUUUUAUCCAAUUUCUUCUUUUUUAUCUUUUGUUUAUCCGUAAGAAUCAAAGAUAAUAACAAAAGAUAUAUAAUAAUUUAUAAAUCUUAUUCAACCAGCUAAACUAAAUCCCCUAGCUAUCCAAAUCCGUUUAACUUUUAAAUAACAAAAUAAAAGUUAUACACACUUUUAUAUUUCAACAUUUUUACCAUUAUUCAUAGUUUUAGUUACUUGUUUAUAUUUUAGAAACGUCAUAAUACUUACGUCUUUUGCUUUUAUAUUUAUAACAUAAAUAUAUAGAAUAUAACAUGUAUAAUAUAAAUAAUAUAAAAAGAGCUGAUAAUUUAAAAAAACGGGAAAGAAAUAAUUAUAAAAUAAACAUAACUAAUCAGACUAUUUGCAUCAAAAGAAAUUAUUUGAAUAUAUUUUACAUACUUGGAAGAAUUUAUGAGUGGCCCAACCGUUGAGAAAUGUGACUUCCAUUAACCAUCCCGAUGUUAUAUAUAUGCAUUCCUAUUGGCAGUGCUAAAGUCAUCAGUAUCAUUCUAAUUCUCAUAUUCAGUGGAUUCAUUUCAUCAAUCACUUUGCCUUUCUGAUCAUAAUCACCAAAAUGCCAACCAUGAAUCCAGUUCGUUUCAAAUACAUGCAAGCCAUAAUAAUAUUUAUGAUGUUGCAGGUUCGUUCAUGUUUUCUCAUUUGAAUGUAUUUGUGAAAAUCGCAAUUCAAAUCUCAUUUGAUUUCAAUGAAUUUCAAUUUCCUUAAAUUUUUAUUCAGUUUUGUCAUUUUUUUCUUCUUAAAAUAGAUCAUUCUCCUAUGUUUUGUUCAUUGUUUUUUGGGUUCAUAAUGUUUCGGAUUGAAUUAGAGGUUGAAGCACCGUUUGUUUUGCCCCCUUAUUUUUUGUUUUCAAGGUUGAACCAUGGUAUAUGUAGAUGUUGAACCAUCAAAUAUGAUAGUGGCAACAAGACAUAAAUAGUGAUGACAAAGAUAAUGACAACAAUAAUAAAGACAAGGAUAAUAAUAAUAUUACAUUCUAUGUUUAUAAUUAAGUUUUAAUUUCAAUGAUAUAUUAUUUUUAAUUUUAAUUCAAUAAUUUCAAUGAUAUAUUAUUUUUAAUCUUAAUUCAAUAAUUUUCAUUUUUUCCCAUUUUAACCUUCAAAAUGAUCUUUCUCUUAAGAUUCUAAUAUAAUCCAUUUUGACUUAAACAAAUGAAAGAUACAAUAAAUUUUAUUUUCAAUCUUUCUCUUCGUACGCACACACAAAAAAGGCUCACACCAUGCAUACACUUUUUUAUGUGUAGAGUAGAAUAUAGUGGCUUUUUCCAAUUUUUGAAUGUCAUUACUCUUUUUAAGUUCUAUUAGCUAUAUUUGUCAAUCAUACAUUAUUUUCAUGACAAAUUGAUGAUAUAUUUUUUCAAAUCAUCCCUUGAAAGUGUCAUAGUAUUAAUUUUUUAUUAUAUUAAGGAGUACAUAUUUUGGUUGAUAUAUAAGACAAAUAUAAAAUUGAUAUUAAGAAAUUUAUUUUAUACUUGAUAUUUAAUAUAUUGAUGUAUAGGAAUAAUGAAAUUAUAGCCAAUUAAGAAUUUUAAAAAUUAUAGAAAGUAUUGGGUUUUGGUGUGAAUUUAAUUGGAAUUGAAUUGUUUCAAUUUAUUGAAUAAUUUAGUUCUUUUUUCUCAAUAUUCUCUUCUUCAUUUUUUUAAAGCAUUUAUGUAUAUAUAUAUAUAUAUAUAUUNNNNNNNNNNNNNNNNNNNNNNNNNNNNNNNNNNNNNNNNNNNNNNNNNNNNNNNNNNNNNNNNNNNNNNNNNNNNNNNNNNNNNNNNNNNNNNNNNNNNAAAAAAUCAUUUAUGGGUCUAUGGUAUCUAGGACAAAUAGAUUAAUUAACUUUAAAUUGAAUGUCCUCUUCAAGCAUGGUAUUUGUUUUUAAACCCAAUUUCCUCUUCUUUGUUAAGAACAUGGUCACUUUCUUCAACUAAACCUACUUUGAAUGCCACUUCAAAAACGUUAUGAUUUUAUUGUCAAUUACAUAUAAUUUGAAGUCCUCCACUAGGAUCAUUUGGAAGGAAAUAAAUUGGGAUGAAGUGAGGAACUUUUGGUUUAGAUGGACUGAAAAUAAAAUGAAGUAAAACAAAUUUAGUGGGGUAAAAAAAAUGAAAUGGGAACUUUUGAUUUAGAUGGGAUGGAAAUGAAAAUGAAGUAAAAACAAAUUUAGUGGGGUCCAAAAAAAAAUUGAUUCCUCAAAAAUAGUGGUAAAAUGGGAGGAUUUUGUGAGAAGCAAUAUUAAUUUUAUGGGAGGGUUCUUAAAAAAAACACUCAUUUUUUACUAUUUCUAUUUAAACAAUAUAAAUUCUCUACCUUGUUUCUCUUUUAUUUCUAUCUUUUUUUCUCUUUCAUUUUUCUCUAUUUCAUCUCUAAUCCAAACAAAGUGCAAAAGUUACGGAUGAGUAAUCUUUUUAGUUUUUUUUAAAACCUUUUUUUUUGCAACUUCUUGACUGGAGACUUUUCCAAGUCUUCCCUUGAUAUAUAUCGUUUAGAAUGCUACAUUAUUUUUAUUUAAUUGGUUAAAUAUUAAAUUGGAAAAUAAAAGAAAAAUGGAAACAUAAACAGCAAUUGUGUCAUUGUUGUGUAGUGAUCGUCACUUUUACUCAUAAGAAUAUAUAUAUAUAUAUAUAUUUUUUUUACUAAAGUACAUUUUAGCAUCUUUAAACUGAAAAUCUUUCAGUCAAAAUGCAUAACAAAAUAUGGGUCAAGUAAUUAGUGCACAAAGUCUUGCUCAUAAUUUUUGCCACCAUAGAUUCAGGUUGUGUUUCGGACUAUUACUUAAAAUAUUGUUAAUUGAUAGUUAAAAUUGUAGAUGAAAUUAUAAAGUUUGAAAGUUGAAAAGUUAAAAACUGAAAGCUGAAAAUAUAUAAGCCAAUGGAUUCAAUUAUAUUUGAAGUAUUUUAUAAUAUUAUCUAAUAAAUAAAUUUUCUCCUAACUUCUCUUUUAAAUAUAUACCAAUUUUAUUGGUUAAUGUUUGUAAAAAAAUAAUAUGAACUAAUAAAAUUGUUACAUAUUUAAAAGAGAAGUUAGGAACAAAAUUUAUUUUAAAAUUAAAAUAAAAAUUCAAUGGCUUUUGGAUGAAAGUUUUCGUUCAAAAAUUUCCCUUAAAAUAAUUAUUUUUCUAAAGUAGUUGUGGUAGAAGCAAACAGAAGUCAUAAUUAUUAUUUAGAAGUGUUGUAUGCCGAACCCAUCUCAUAGCGGCCAUGUUUAUAUGCUUCAAAUCUUUUCAGCAAAUUAAAUACCAAGCUAAGAUUUUUCUUUUAUCCAAUUCUCCCCUUCUUCUCCUUUAUUUUUUUUAUCUAUUGAAAUCAAAGAUAAUAUCAAAAAAUUUAUAUUAAUUUCCAACUAAUUAAAUUAACCCCCUAGACUAUUCAAAUUAUUUUAACUUUUAAAUAACAAAAUAAAAGUUAUACACACAUUUAUAUUCAAACAUUUUUACCAAUAUUCAUAGUUUUAGUUACUUGUUUAAAUUUUUAAAAUGUCAUAAUAAUUACUUCUUUUGCUUUUAUAUUUAUAACAUAAAUGCAUAGAAUAUAACAUGUUUAAUAUAAAUAAUAAAAAAGGAGCUGAUAGAAUAUUAAAAAAGCGGGAAAGAAAUAAUUAUAAAAUCAACAUAACUAAUCAAACUAUUUGGGUCAAAAGAAAUUAUUUGAAUAUAUUUUUCAUACUUGCGUAAAAUUUAUAUUAGUAAAUUUAGAGGAAAUACAAAAUUAUUUUAACUAAUUUCCAUAAAUUUUAUUGAAGAGUUUUUUUUAUAUAUUUUAUCCGUGUAUUACAAAUUUUUUAAAAUUAAAUAUCCUAAAAGGAUUUUUUUUAUUAAAAGUAUGAAUAUCUAAAACUUUUUUUUACUGUUAUUUAUUAAAAGUAAAAAAUAAACUCCAGUUGGUUUGAAAUUCAUGGAAGGCAUAAUAAUAUUAAUGAUGUUGCAGGUUGUUGUUUCUGCUCAAGACCAUAUUAUGUGCAUUCAGACUGAGAGGGAAGCACUCCUCCAAUUCAAGGCUGCCCUUGUGGAUGACUAUGGCAUGCUCUCUUCUUGGACCACUUCUGAUUGCUGCCAAUGGCAAGGGAUUCGCUGCUCCAACCUCACCGGCCAUGUUCUAAUGCUCGACCUUCACGGUCAGCUUAGAUUUUCACAUGCCUUCGCUGAUGAUAUCACUGAUAUUGGCUGGCAACGUUAUAUGAGAGGAGACAUCCACAAGUCGUUGAUGGAGUUGCAACAAUUAAAGUAUUUAAACCUCAGUUGGAAUUCUUUUCAAGGCAGAGGAAUCCCAGAGUUUCUUGGUUCUCUCACCAACUUGAGAUACCUUGAUCUGGAAUAUUGUCGUUUUGGCGGAAAAAUUCCAACUCAGUUUGGCUCUCUUUCUCAUUUGAAAUACUUAAAUCUUGCUUUGAAUUCUCUGGAGGGUUCAAUCCCUCGUCAACUUGGAAAUCUCUCCCAGUUGCAGCAUCUUGAUCUCAGCGCCAAUCAUUUUGAAGGAAAUAUACCCUCUCAAAUUGGAAAUCUCUCCCAGUUGCUGCAUCUUGAUCUCAGCUACAAUUCUUUUGAAGGAAGUAUACCGUCCCAACUUGGGAACCUUUCAAAUUUGCAGAAGCUUUAUCUUGGAGGAUCACAUUAUUAUGAUGAUGCUUAUGGUGGUGCUCUCAAAAUUGACGAUGGAGAUCAUUGGGUGUCUAAUCUCAUUUCUUUAACCCAUCUUUCCUUGGUCUUCAUAUCUAAUCUCAACACUUCUCAUAGCUUCCUCCAAAUGAUUGCCAAGCUACCAACACUUAGAGAACUGAGUUUAAGUGAAUGUAGCCUUUCCGAUCAGUUUAUCCUUUCAUUGAGGCCCUCCAAAUUCAAUUUUUCUAGUUCCCUUUCCAUCCUUGAUCUUUCCUGGAACAGCUUCACGUCAUCAAUGAUACUCCAGUGGCUGUCCAACGUCACUUCCAACCUUGUUGAGCUUCACCUUAGUUAUAACCUCUUGGAGGGUUCCACAUCAUCAAAUCAUUUUGGCAUUGUCUUGAAUUCACUUCAGCACCUUGACCUUAGUUAUAACCUCUUGGAGGGUUCCACAUCAUCAAAUCAUUUUGGCAUUGUCUUGAAUUCACUUCAGCACCUUGACCUUAGUCAUAACCUCUUGGAGGGUUCCAUAUCAAACCAUUUUGGCCGUGUAAUGAAUUCUCUUGAGCACCUCGACCUCUCAUAUAAUAUAUUCAAGGGUGAGGAUUUCAAAUCCUUCGCGAAUAUAUGCACCU